GAUCGUUCGGUGGCCCAAUUGGUUAAAGCGUUCGCCUCGGAUGCGGGAGGUCGCAGGUUGGAACCCCGGCCGAGUCA